AUGGCGUGCCGCGUGCCGGGCCUAGCCCGUUUAGCUCGGGCCGUGCCGUUCCUGCAUGCUACCGGGCCGGCCCAGUUAGCACGGCCCGUUUGGCCAGCUAUACAGCAAGUCCUCUGCUCUCCGCGUUUCCCUUAUUUCUACCGCGUCUGGAGAGUGGGAGACUCACUGAGAAACAGAGAGACAGAGAGAGGGGGUAACCGUGGAGUCGAUCUCGCGGCGGGGACUCCUCCGAGGCUUGUACGUCUUGCCGACCACCGGCGGCCUGUUCGCCGGUACCUUGCAUGGGGUGAAGUGAAGGCUGUUUUAUUAAUCAAUCAUCGUAUUAUGUGCACAAUAAGCUUUUGCUAUGCUUUCACCGUCGAUGCCCACUGGUUGGAUCAUGCUUCUGUUUAUGAGCUCAUUGAAUUAAUGCCUGUUUCUGUUGAGCGUUCAACGGUUCAAGUUCUCCUCUUCUUGGAUUUAGUUAGGAUAUAUGCUUCCAUUCUUGUCAAUUGA
rnacentral:rRNA from 1 species